rnacentral:rRNA from 1 species
CAGCACCUCAAGUGGUCAGGAUGAUUAUUGGGCCUAAAGCAUCCGUAGCCGGCGCUGUAAGUUGUCGGUUAAAUCUGUACGCUCAACGUACAGGCUGCCGGGAAUACUGCAGCGCUAGGGAGUGGGAGAGGUAGACGGUACUCGGUAGGAAGGGGUAAAAUCCUUUGAUCUAUUGAUGACCACCUGUGGCGAAGGCGGUCUACCAGAACACGUCCGACGGUGAGGGAUGAAAGCUGGGGGAGCAAACCGAAUUAGAUACCCGAGUAGUCC